ACAUAUCAAUAAGCGGAGGAAAAGAAACCAACAGGGAUUGCCCUAGUAACGGCGAGUGAAGCGGCAACAGCUCAAAUUUGAAAGCUGGCUCUCGGGCCCGCAUUGUAAUUUGCAGAGGAUGCUUCUGGCGACGCGCCUUCCGAGUUCCCUGGAACGGGACGCCAUAGAGGGUGAGAGCCCCGUCCGGUCGUGCGCCUAGCCUCUGUGAAGCUCCUUCGACGAGUCGAGUAGUUUGGGAAUGCUGCUCAAAAUGGGAGGUAUACGUCUUCUAAAGCUAAAUACCGGCCAGAGACCGAUAGCGCACAAGUAGAGUGAUCGAAAGAUGAAAAGCACUUUGAAAAGAGAGUUAAAAAGUACGUGAAAUUGUUGAAAGGGAAGCGCUCAUGACCAGACUUGGGCUGGCCCGAUCAUCCGGCGUUCUCGCCGGUGCACUCGGGCCGCCCAGGCCAGCAUCAGCUUUCGCCGGGGGAUAAAGGCGGCGGGAAUGUGGCUCCCUCGGGAGUGUUAUAGCCCGCCGUGCAAUACCCUGGUGGGGGCUGAGGUUCGCGCGUAUGCACGGAUGCUGGCGUAAUGGUUAUCAGCGACCCGUCUUGAAACACGGACCAAGGAGUCGUCUUCGUAUGCGAGUGUUCGGGUGUCAAACCCCUACGCGGAAUGAAAGUGAACGCUGGUGAGAGCUUCGGCGCAUCACCGACCGAUCCUGAUGUUCUCGGACGGAUUUGAGUAAGAGCAUACGGGGCCGGACCCGAAAGAAGGUGAACUAUGCCUGUAUAGGGUGAAGCCAGAGGAAACUCUGGUGGAGGCUCGCAGCGGUUCUGACGUGCAAAUCGAUCGUCAAAUAUGGGCAUGGGGGCGAAA
rnacentral:rRNA from 1 species